rfam:Ictidomys tridecemlineatus contig108354, whole genome shotgun sequence.
GGGACUGUGGCUCAGUGGCAGAGCGCUUACUUCGCACGUAGGAGGUAUUGGGUUUGAUCCUCAGCCCCA